rnacentral:rRNA from 1 species
GACGAACGCUGGCGGCGUGCUUAACACAUGCAAGUCGAACGGAAAGGCCCUGCUUUUGUGGGGUGCUCGAGUGGCGAACGGGUGAGUAACACGUGAGUAACCUGCCCUUGACUUUGGGAUAACUUCAGGAAACUGGGGCUAUUACCGGAUAGGAGCUCCUGCUGCAUGGUGGGGGUUGGAAAGUUUCGGCGGUUGGGGAUGGACUCGCGGCUUAUCAGCUUGUUGGUGGGGUAGUGGCUUACCAAGGCUUUGACGGGUAGCCGGCCUGAGAGGGUGACCGGCCACAUUGGGACUGAGGUACGGCCCAGACUCCUACGGGAGGCAGCAGUGGGGAAUAUUGCACAAUGGGCGGAAGCCUGAUGCAGCAACGCCGCGUGCGGGAUGACGGCCUUCGGGUUGUAAACCGCUUUCGCCUGUGACGAAGCGUGAGUGACGGUAAUGGGUAAAGAAGCACCGGCUAACUACGUG